rnacentral:lncRNA from 1 species
CCGCACGCGCUCGUCUCAGCCAAAUGGUCGCCGCCUUCAAGCCAGUUGUCGCCGCGCUUCUCUCGCUCCCGAUGCCGACGGUAGCCGCCGUCCAAGGCCACGCCGCUGCAGCCGGAUUCUUAUUGGCUCUGAGCCACGACUACUUCCUGAUGAGGCGCGAUAGAGGCGUGCUGUAUAUGAGCGAGGUCGAUUUGGGGCUGCCAUUCCCAGACUACUUCACGGCGGCGUUUCUGGCGAAGAUCGGGUCGGUUUCGGGUAGGAGGGACGUGAUGCUGAGGGGGAUGAAGCUGAAGGGAGACGAGGCUGUCAAGCUUGGGAUUGUGGAAUCGGCGCACGAUAGCGCGGAAAGCACGGUGGAGGCUGCGGUGCGCCUGGGGGAGCAGUUGGCGAAGAGGAAAUGGAACGGCGACGUUUACGCGGAGAUCAGGA